UACGUAGGUGGCAAGCGUUGUUCGGAAUUAUUGGGCGUAAAGGGCGCGUAGGCGGUUUGCUAAGUCAGUUGUGAAAGCCCGGGGCUCAACCCCGGAGGGUCGGCUGAUACUGGUGGACUAGAGUACGGAAGAGGUAGCUGGAAUUCCCGGUGUAGCGGUGAAAUGCGUAGAUAUCAGGAGGAACACCGAUGGCGAAGGCAGGUCUCUGGGCAUUAACUGACGCUGAGGAGCGAAAGCAUGGGGAGCGAACAGG
rnacentral:rRNA from 1 species